AGAAAGGUACACUGGUGUUUAGUCAUGUGCUUCAGUGAUCAUUCGUUAGUCGUUACCUGAAGAUUAAAAGCACAGAAAUUAUUAAAAGCGUAAUUUGUUAAAUCUCAAUAUCAAGGUGAGAGAACGAGAACCUGCAUUUAAACUUGUUCCAACUUCCAAGGGUUUAAGUCACCACGUGCUUAACAACAGAAUCUUUCGUUUAAAAGUUUAAUAUAGUGACAAUUGCAGGUAAAUACUUAUUAGUAAUGUUGUAUCUCUUUAUUUCAUUCACUAACUAUACACAAAUUUCUGUAUAUAACCUGGCACAACCAUUUAUGGAAGCAAACUUUUGUUAAUGAAUAACAUGUGAAACCUCUAUUAGAGUCAUCUUUAAAAUAACAGUUUUUAGAAUGUAUAAUUGAGCACUGAAUACUUCACUGUAAAACUAAUUUCAAUGAUCUUCAAAUCCUGGCAUUGGGAACUGCAGAGCAAAUUUGUUCACUUCGCUUUUCAGUGCAGCCAUUUUAGCCUUGAUUUCAUCAUUAUUCU